AUCUCAUGAAGGAAGAAGCAGAACUCCUGUCAUGAAAAUAAUGGAAAGUUUUCCGGCGCGGAAGCGAGCAUCACAACUUAAAACGCUUCUCGCGAUCGAUGAAACACAGAAG
rnacentral:SRP_RNA from 17 species